rnacentral:rRNA from 1 species
AUUGAACGCUGGCGGCAUGCCUAACACAUGCAAGUCGAACGGGGCAGCAAUGCCUAGUGGCGGACGGGUGAGGAAUACGUAGGAAUCUGCCCUUAAGUGGGGGAUAACCAGGGGAAACCCUGACUAAUACCGCAUGAUCUCUUCGGAGCAAAGAGGGGGACCGCAAGGCCUCUCGCUUCUGGAUGAGCCUACGUCUGAUUAGCUAGUUGGUGGGGUAAAGGCCUACCAAGGCAACGAUCUGUAGUUGGUCUGAGAGGACGACCAGCCACAAUGGAACUGAGACACGGCCCAGACUCCUACGUGAGGUAGCAGUGGGGAAUUUUGGACAAUGGGCGCAAGCCUGAUCCAGCAAUGCCGCGUGCAGGAAGAAGGCCUUCGGGUUGUAAACUGCUUUUGUCAGGGAAGAAAUCCUCUAGGUUAAUACCCUUGGGGGGAUGACGGUACCUGAAGAAUAAGCACCGGCUAACUACGUGCCAGCCGCCGCGGUAAUAC